rnacentral:rRNA from 1 species
UGGGCUAGAAAUGUAGGGAUUAAGCCUGUGAAAGCAGGGGGAUUGCCUUUCGGGGUGUAACCUACUUC